AAGUAAGUUGUAGACUGGAUUUUAUUUGAGUGUAUUUUUUUGUAAUCAAUUUAUGUUUUGAAACGCUCCCCUUUAAUUUCCAUAAUAAGCAAUUGAUCAACUAAUCACCAAAGAAUAAAAACCAAGAACUGCAAAGGGCCAUCAUAAAGGUGAUAAUGAAACAAGUUAUCAUCAACAUUACAACCAAAACAGCAUUAAGUUAAUAUACUUAAUUUUUUUAUAGAUAUUUAAUAAAAGUAUUUCAAAUGUGAAAUUAAAUUACAACUAUAAUUUACAUUGUAUCAGAAUUUAAAAGAAAAGUUUUUUAGUUUUUUUAUUCCUUCUUUUUCAGUCAUCCAAAUUCACAACCUCCAGCAUCACUUAUACAACAUCAGAACCUGCUUCCUCCCAUCAGACAGAAAGACCAAUUACUUCCACUACCAGCACACCACCAUCAACUUUGUCUUUACAAAGUGUUCUCUUGGUUGUUUUUGCUUCCCUAGCUAUAUUCGUUGGAAUCCUUUUCACCAUACACUUUGUAAGGAAAUAUUUACAAAAAAAAUCAACUAGACCACAUUCUACACUAGACCAAGUUGUAAUAUCAAACUUUAUUAAUUCAUCAAAUUCCAGUAUAGAACUUUUUAAUUUA